AGAGUUUGAUCCUGGCUCAGAACGAACGCUGGCGGCGCGUUUUAAGCAUGCAAGUCGAGCGGCAAGGGUCUUCGGGCCCCUAGAGCGGCGGACGGGUGAGUAACACGUGGACAAUCUGCCCCCCGGCCGGGGAUAGCCCAGGGAAACCUGGAUUAAUACCGGAUGAGACGGGACCCGCGGAGGCGGGAUCCGGGAAAGGCGCUGCGGCGCCGCCGGGGGAUGAGUCUGCGUCCCAUUAGCUUGACGGCGGGGUAACGGCCCACCGUGGCGACGAUGGGUAGCCGGCCUGAGAGGGUGUACGGCCACAUUGGAACUGAGACACGGUCCAGACUCCUACGGGAGGCAGCAGCUAAGAAUCUUCCGCAAUGGGCGAAAGCCUGACGGAGCGACGCCGCGUGAACGAAGAAGGCCGUGAGGUUGUAAAGUUCUUUUCGGGAGGGGGAACGACCGUGGCAGGGAAUGGCCGCGGGAUGACGUGAAUCCCGGAAUAAGCCCCGGCUAACUACGUGCCAGCAGCCGCGGUAACACGUAGGGGGCGAGCGUUGUUCGGAAUCAUUGGGCGUAAAGGGCGUGCAGGCGGUCCUGCAAGUCCGGCGUGAAAGACCCCGGCCCAACCGGGGGGGCGCGCUGGAAACUGCAGGGCUUGAGUACAGGAGGGGAUGCCGGAAUUCCAGGUGUAGGGGUGAAAUCUGUAGAUAUCUGGAGGAACACCAAUGGCGAAGGCAGGCAUCUGGCCAUGUACUGACGCUGAGACGCGAAGGUGCGGGGAGCAAACAGGUUUAGAUACCCUGGUAGUCCGCACAGUAAACGAUGUGCACCAGGUGGCGGGGGGUCGACCCCCGGUACCGUAGCCAACGCAUUAAGUGCACCGCCUGGGGAGUAUGCUCGCAAGGGUGAAAC
rnacentral:rRNA from 1 species